AACACCCGAAGCCGGUGGCCGUAACCCGUAAGGGGAGGAGCCGUCGAAGGUGGGUCGGUGAUUGGGGUG
rnacentral:rRNA from 1 species